GAUAAGUAAACAAAUAUUUUAAUCCUUUAAUGUUAAAAAUACAUUAAAUUAAAUCACAGUAGUAUGACUUUAUUAUUUUUAGAAAAAUAUGCAUAAGGAAAAUAUGCUACUGGGUUCUAAAAAUGUUGUUAUUUAAAUUUAGGGGAUGAGGAGGUGAUUGAGUUUGCAAAGUACUUGCCAUUCAAGCUGAGGACCUAAGGUCAGAUAUCUAGGCAUGAAAAAUGCUGAGCAUGGCUGUUUGCUCAACGUAACUCUACUGCUGGGUUAGGGAGGUGGAUAACAGGAUUGCUAGACCUUGCUGAUCAGUCAGCCUAGUAGAGAAGCACGAUGCUUCAGGCUCAAUGAGAGACCCUGCUUCAAAACAAAGAUGGUGAGUAAUUUAGGAAGACACUCAAAGUUAAACUCUAGCCUCCACAAUGGCAUACAUAUUCAUACAUAUGUGCACAUGUACAUGAACUCAGACAUUCAGAAAUACCUUAGCAUAGAGAUAUAAGUUUUGGUUCUCCAAUCAUUAUAACAUGCCUGCAAAUAACUUUAGUAUCUGUUUGAAGUAAAGAUGGGGGGGGGGGGAGAAAUCAUCACUGGAAAUUGAUUAGUGACCCAACUUCUACUUAUAGCAGUUUAUUCUAAAUGUUUAAUUAAUGCUGGGCAUGGUGGCACACACCUUUAAUCUCAGCACUUGGGAGACCAAAGCAGGUACUUCUCCAUGAGUUCUAGGCCAGUCUUGUUUACAUAGCGAGUCCCAGGCCAGACUUAUCUAUGUAGGAUUUGCUUUUUUUUUGUUUUUAUUAAAAAAUACUGAUAGUGAAGGUAGAUGCACUUGCCUCCAAUACAAAAUAAUUUUUGUCAUGCAGUACCUAAAAUCAAUGACUAUCUAAUCCCUUUCUAAUUUUUCAAAUGUGUAAAGUAGGAUGGGCUCAGAUACAGAGAAGCAAACCAAGCUGUACUCGAACCAUGGUUUAGUUCUGUACAGAAACAUCGGUUAUGAAAACUGUUUUCUUUGUGUGAAUUCAGUUCUUACAUGGAAGUGUAAAAGGUCUGAUGCCAUUCAGUGUAUAAGGAUCUAAAUCCAACUUUCAGGAGGUCUCGUGAAGGAAACAGAGGGACAGGUCAAUCAGUGUGCCUACUGUGUUGCUCUGUGCCUUCUGGGUGCUUUGGGAACAAAAAGAUGAAUAGGUUGGGCUUUUUGGAGCCCUCAGAAAAAGGAAAGAAAAUGCCUGUGAAUUUUUGAUCAGUUGUGAAAUAAAAUAAAGUAGAAUGUAGAAGGCAGUGAUUGGAUUUGUUUCCCUGGCUCCAUCAAUCUCUGUAGACUCUUUGAGCAAAACUGGUCGAGCGGCUUACAUGACAGUUAUUCAAGCAAAUGGAAAAUUUCCCAAGCUCCUGCUGGCUCAGAAACAGAGGGCUCUUUUAAAGCAGUACAGAACUCAGCAGUUUGGGUUUCAUUGAACUGGUUUAGUGGUUUCAACUUACAUAACUUCCAUAUGGAGCCUUGAAGGGGAGCAUAGAAUCCAAGCCUCUAUUGUCCCACCUGAGAGCAGCUGACAUUUCAAGGGUCUCUGGUGACUUGCCCACAAUUUUGAAGAUUUUUUUUUUCUUGUGAAAAUUUGAAAUUCUUACCAAACACCAACAAAACUAUGAAAGUCAGAUUUGUGAAAACUAAUGUAAAAUGGGUGUAAGAGCAGGAAAUCCGGUUUAAUCUCCUACUUAAUGUGCAGUGGUAUCUGGCACACUUCACCUACAUAUUAGCACGGAGCCUAGGCAGAAUGCAUACCAAGCAGGCAAUAGAACAGCAUUCUGUAGGGAACCAUGGAUGGCGCAAGAAUCUUGUUUUCCUUUUGAAAUAAACUCUGAGGCAAAUAAGACAAUUAGGUUGAGCAUCGUAAACUACAGAUAGCUAGGGCCAAUGAUUGCUAGAGACUAAAAGAUGAAAUUUUAAAAAUUUUAUUUUGUUUAAAUAUAAUUCCAUCAUUUAUCCCCUCCCUUACUUCCUUCCAGGCCCUCCUAUGCCCCAUCCCCAAUGCUUCUUCUCAUAUUCAUGACUUCUGUUUCUUUUCAAUUAUAUGUGUUUGUGUAUGUGUGUGUAUGUACAUGUGUGUGAAAGAGAGAGAGAAUAUAAAUAUGUAAAUGAAAACUACUGCAUCCACUUAGUAUUGCCUGUGUGUAUAUUUUAGGGAUGACCACUAGGUAUUGAAUAAUUAGGAGGCUUGUCCUUGGGGAGACUAAUUCUCCUUCUCUCAGCAGUCAUUCACUGCCUGUGGCUCUUCAUCUAUCAUAGGGCAAUUUUGAAACUAAAAACUAACAGGAAAGUUGCCUCUCACUUUGUUAUGAGACUGCAUUGAACAUCGCUGAGGAUCUAUCACAUAUAAACUUCCUGGUGGUCAUUUUAAAAUUUUCUCUACGCCCCCAUGCCUAGUACUUAUUCUCUUUAGUUCCUGAAGGUCAUAUGACUAAGAAGGGGUAGCUCCAAAAUCAAAACCAGGUAUUUCUUUUUAUUUUGUGUUGUUUUGUUUUGAAUAUAGCACACUACAUUUAAGUAUCAAUUUAUCUUUCAGUUGUGUGGAUUUACAAAUAGCAUGAAUAGGUGGAACCAUCUUCAAAAUGUUGGUAGAUUGUUUUUCAAAACAAAUUAUUGCAAAACUCUUUAUAUGUCUAAAUAUUUUGAUUAUUCCUUUGAGUAAGUUUCUACAUAACUAGAUAUCCAUCUUGUGAUGAAAAAAAAGGUCUUAAAAGAGAAAAAUAAUCAAGUCUUUGGAGAUUUCCCAGUGCUUUCAUCUGUUGCCGUAGAACAGGUAUGAUUUGCUAUUUGGAUGGCUUUAGAGGGCUGAUCACAAACUUAGUUGUUCAAUAUGCAUGUGAAACAUUGGCUGUCUUUAUUAGAUAUUAUUUCUUGUAUUCAUAAUGAGAAGAGGAAUUUUAGAAGACAACAUAGUGAAAAGUCCUAUGUCCAGCAAAGUUGCAUUACAUUUCUUUUAGAUGUUAUGAUAUGUAAAUGAAUAAUGCAUCUAAUGAAAAAAUGAGGUUUAACACUGAGGGAAAGAUUCUAUUUUUAGAACAUUGAGUAAAUACUUCCCUAAAACAUUCUCUACUGCCCUGCCUUAUUAUUUCCUUAGUAAAAAAUGUACUGUUUUUGGAAUGCAGGAGCAUUACCACAAACAUGAGUUAUUGAGUUAUUCUGUUAAUUGUUAUUGAUGUAAUUUUAUGAAAUACAUGCUAGGAACUGAAUGUUAUUAGCCUUGAAAACUAAAACUAACCUACUUAAUUUGCUAUAGAUAAUGAUAAAAUUUAAAAAUUUUUAUUGCAUGUAUGUCUGGAGUGUGCACAUGUGUGGUGGGUGUGCAUGCACAUGGAAGCCAGAGGAGGUCACUGGGUAUAAUCCUCUGUUGUUCUCUGCCUUAUUCCCUUGAGACUAGGUAUCUCACUAAACCUAGAACUCUUGGUCCUUUGUUUUUGUGGUGUUGUUGCUGUUUUGGUUAGGCUGGCUGGUCAGCAAGCCCCAUCAAGUCCAGCUGUUUGGUAUCCCAGCCCAGCAGUGGGGGCAUGGGUGUGCAUGGCCACACCCAGCUUUUGACAUGGAUGCUGAGGAUCUGAAUACAGGUCCUCAUGCUUAAGGACCAUGCAUUCUUAACUCAAUGAACUUCUUUCUGGCUUCUUAAUGACAUCAUUUUUUAAGUUUCCUAUGAAGGUAAUAAAGUAACCAGCCAAUAUGUGUGCACGUGGCCUAUGUGUAUUCCAGUUUCAGUGGCAUGGCAUGCCGAAUCUUCUGCUAAGAUCUUGGUCUUGCAGCAGAGCUUGUCAGGACUCAUCAUCUAUUCAGGCUGAUUCUUUUCUCCCUAGAUCCUUUUUCUUUGUUGUUAAGUCUCAAAACACUAUUAGAUGGCUGUAUAUCAUUUGCUACCAUUUCAUACCUAAUCCAAGUCCUCUACCUACCCAGAGGUGACAUGAAUUUCCUAAAAGAAGUCUCCUUAACUCAGAUUUAGAGAUGUGGUCAAAGUCUGUAAAACACUCUGAAAUGUCUCCUCCUAGUAUGCAUUACUGAAAUUAUUCUUAGCACCAGUUUCUCCUGACAAUAUAUUUCCCUGACGUCUAUCUCUUAUUUUUAGCCCAUAAUGUAACCAGAAGUUCAUGAAGCAUUGAUGAGGUGCCUACUUUUUUAGUGCUUGGCAGACAGAGAUGGCUACAGCACUUGCUCCACCCCCAAGACACUCAUAUUAAUGGAGGGGACAGAGACAUGAGGAUAUAACAUGUGUGAAUUAUUAUUGGCGAUACACGUGAACAAAUGGGACAUGAUUUAAUGAAAUAAGCCAUUUAUGAAACUUUUGUGCCUGGUUAGAGGGACUGAACACAUCAACUGAACUCUCGUUAUAGAGGGAAGAACCCAUGAAGUCUGUGGUUGCUGACUAAUGAAAAGAGCAACGUGGCUCCCAGUUUCUUGACUUGACUUUAUAUCUGAGAAGUUCCCUGCCUAAAAAAAUGAUGAAAGCAGGUGGGCUGUACUGCAUAGCUAUGUCAGUCUGUGAUGCUGGAGAUCCAUGAGGGGAGCAUUACUGUUCCUAUGGCAACUGAUGCUGCUCUAGUCAUGACCACACAAAGGACAAUCUGAAAAUCAAGGCGUGGAAAAGGAACAAGAGAAAGCAGUGUCAAGGAGGAGAAUAGGAGAUGCUGUGUAUCGCUCCUACAAUUGAGAGAAAAAGCACGAGAUGGACAAGGAGAUUCUCCAAGCCCAGAGGAGAGGUGGCCAAUAGCACACAAUGGGUGGCUACAAAGAAAUGACCACUUUUCUGCCUUUGAAAGUUGUGUUUCCUGUAAAGCAGGUGUUCCUAUCUUUUUGCCUUAGAGUCAGUUUUAAAUCCUGAAGUCUGUCUUCAAAAUGAAACUUGAAAAAAGCAAAGCAAGGAAAAUGAAGUUUUGUGAGGCUAUAUCUAUGCAUUUGGUCUUAGAAUUUUGAACAAGUUGCUUAGUCUAACUUUAAAAUAGGAGAAUGACAGCAAUUUCAGUUGCUGGGUUAAUGAAUGUGAGAGCUGGAAUAAAACUCUGCCCUGUGCAGUGAACCUUUCUACUUGGAGGGAAAUGUGGAUAAAACCAUUCAUUUUCACAUUUGACAAUGAGGAGGAAAAGGAAACAACAGAUUUUUGUUCUGGCCUCCCCUUCCUGGUUAAGGAGCAAACAAUUUGUUUAUUUUGUUUGAAGACAGGAUUGAGACAGAAAAAAAACUUAUCACGUACACACAAUUUAUAUCAAUAGAUCAUAACUUCCAGCGUGAAUAAGUAAAAUACUAUUAAACAAUUAUGUCUGAGUUUUUAAAAAGACCUUGAUAGCUUUGCUAUUAUUUAGUCAUUAUCCAGUAAGGAUGGGUCCCUAAUGUAACAUUCUAUUUUUAUCACCUCUUCAUGCCAUGCAUAGAAUAUGAAAUUCAAUGUUUUUAUAAAGUUGGACAUUUUCUAGAUCCAUGCACAAACAUCUUGGUGUAUUCUGACACAGUGAACACUCCUCUUCAAGGACUCACCUCCUCCAGUGCCUGUUCUUUGCCCUAGAGCAGAUGCUUUCAUGGCUGCCAGAGGUGAGCUACACAAAUGAAGGAUGCUGAAGUCCUGUGGUGUUGACCUCCUAGGUGCAGAUUGGGCUUCCAUUGUAGAUCUUUUUUCUAACAUCAAUCUCACUUCCUCCACAUGAGCUGAGCCCUAAGCUACUCAACAAACAUCGUGCACGCUGGACUUUCAUUCAGCAUCUGACUUUAGGAGAACACCUGGACAUUUUCUUACAAGGACAUGCUUAUGUGGAUGAAUCAAUUUUUCCUAUUUGAAAUAUCCACAAAGUCAAAUUUCCAACAUAAGUAUGACCUCAACCUACCUACACCACUCCUCAAGAAUUUGUAAAGGAAGAAAUAUUAAUCAUCAUGUUAGUUCACAUUCUACACUCAGGGUUUUUGAGAUGCUGCCUGUGAUUAAAGGCUUAUGAAGAUGUACCAAAUCCCAUAAAACAUUCAUAUAAUUGCAAAGGUUGGAAUUCAGAGCAUUAAAAGGACUCAGGCAGGGUUGUGCUAGAGAUUAGAACAGAGGAAGGCCUAAUAUUACUUCUUUGACUUUAUGUGACAAAGUUCUUUGACUUUAUGGUUCAAGGAGUCACCUCCCUUCUUCUCUCCUCCUUCCUCCCUUGUUCCUUUAACCCAAUUUAGUUCCUCAUCUCUCUCAGCCACAGCUGUUUCCUAGAACUGUGCAUUCCUGUCAGAGAUGCAAUGAGGAGUGUGGUAUGCAUAGUUCUAGCAAUUCUGUCAGUGUGCAACUGUACUUCAAAUGUGUCAAAUUAGAAGGUACUUUCUAAGUCUCAUGACACUAAGCAAUUUUCCUGGAUGUAGUGAGUAUGAGCCAGGCUUUCUCUGAGUGUCCAGGAGGCUCUGGGAGGCAGCAUGUUCACCCACAGGGCUACACAUUGGUACUUCCCUCCCUAAAAACAUAAGGAGUGCAUUCAGUAUUUCUUAGGCAAGAGAUUCAGUGAAGUGCCAUUGGGAUAUGGCAAUCUAGAAAUUUUUUUUCUAUCAUUUUUCAGUCCAUUUAGCUUCUGCAGUAUGAGAGGACAAUAUAUUUCCUGCAAAAUAUGUCACCCAGUAUAUGGCCUGGAUAUUUUCUAUUUUCACCUCAUCUAUUAGCAGAUAUUUAAAUAGUUAAGUCUAUUUUUUGUUUCUGUUUUUACAAAUAUCCUAAUAUUUUUCUAUUGUGAGUUUGUGUAAAUGCUCUAAUGUAAGCAUAUUAAAUGUUUGUUGGAUAAACAUCAUGUUUCUCUUAUCAUAUACACUAGGAAAGAAAGCAAUCGAAGACUCUCUAAGUCUCAUGGUGACCCUCCAAAGCAAAACUCAUCACCUCUGCUUUCAGAUCCUUAAAUGUUAGGUUCUACAAUAUUAAAUGUUGCUGGAUUUGUCUGCUAAGUCUCAGCCAUAUUCCAGGAUCUGUAUGUACCUUAAUUAAAUAGUUACCAGAAUA